GAGUUUGGAUCCUGGCUCAGGGUUAACGCUGGCGGCGCGCAUCAUGCAUGUAAGUCGAACGAGGGCUCAUUUCUCGCAAGAGAGGUGAGUUCCUAGUGGCGAACGGGUGAGUAACACGUGGGCAACCUUCCCUAUCGCGGGGGAUAACAACGGGAAACCGAUGCUAAUACCGCAUGUUGUCACCGGCUCAUGGCCGGUGAAGAAAGCAGCAAUGCACGAUAGGAUGGGCCCGCGGCCUAUCAGCUAGUCGGUGGGGUAACGGCUCACCGAGGCGAUGACGGGUAGCUGGUCUGAGAGGACGGCCAGCCACACGGGGACUGCGACACGGCCCCGACUCCUACGGGAGGCAGCAGCAAGGAAUCUUCCGCAAUGGGCGAAAGCCUGACGGAGCGACGCCGCGUGUGGGAUGAAGUCUUUCGGGAUGUAAACCACUGUCGGAGGGGAAGACAUCGACGGUACCCUCCAAGAAAGCCCCGGCUAACUACGUGCCAGCAGCCGCGGUA
rnacentral:rRNA from 1 species